AGCUGCGCGCGUGCGCAAUUGCGCACUGCUGACACGGUCUCCGCGCACAGAAAAUCUGCGCUGCGCACAAAAAAAAAAAAAAAUCCAACCUAAAUUGUAAAUAAAAUAAACACGUAACAAUUCAUUCUCUGCUAUUUUUCAUUGUGAGUCAGUGAGUGACUGGUGACUGGCUGCUGCAGCCAAUGAUGCGAUUCACAUACGUAUUUACCAUAGACUGUAUACAAUGGUAUUUACGCAGCUAAUCUACGUCAGGCGUCCUUAUGUGCAGCCACCGUUGUUGUCAUAGAUAUGAAUGAGUAGAUAGGACACGCCCCUUUGAGCUGCGUGCUACAGCGAGGCUAAGCUAGUGGGGGCAAAGUUUCAGUGCAUUCCGUUGAUGUAGACAGCGUGAAAACGGAAACAACAAGUAUGCUGGCUCACUGUGCUGCAUACAGUUACACACUACGUCGUACGAUUGAGACAAGGAAACUUGGAAAUACUUUUCAGAGGUUUCCCAGAGACUAUGGGUUGAGGAGGAACUGGAAGUUUGUCGGCUUAGACCUGGUGUCAUUCCAUCAGUGUUAAACUUCACGGCUCAUCUUGGAAGAGUACGUGCCAGAAAGACCACGACCAAGCAGCCUUGAGAUCUUAGACAGCAUCUCCCUCAGGUCCCUCUCUAUCUCCCCACACAUCCACCAACCACUGGAACACAUCUCCAAAGUUCUGCUGGACCAGCUCAGCUUCCCCUCAGAAGAAGUGCUGCCACCUGCCAGAUGAAGGAGCCUUUUGAGAGGCAGCUGGCAUCGUGAUUGGACUGUACUUUGGUCUGUUCUAAUCCAGCUUCAGCUCCAGAGACGGCAGGCGGGACGAGUCAACGGAGGCCUGGUGGACGAAGGCAUGCAGCUGAGUACAAUCCAGAAAACAACAGAGGAGGAGUGCAGCAGCCCAGAGCCAGAACAACCAGAGUAGCAUCACUAAAGAACUACAGACUCUUCACAACCUGCUCAAACUCUUGGUACAGGACCUCACCACACGGGUCAAGAAGGUUUCUGUCUCAUUUCUACUCUGAAGCUCACCUUCUCCUGCUCAAACUGCUGACAAAUGUUUCUGCUGCUCUAAAGUCUGGUCUCCAGAACUUCCUAAAAACUCUCAAAGUCUCUUCUGCUGCAGGUUGCUUUGUAGAACUGUUCCAGAAAACCUCACUAAACCACAUGGAGGGGCCUCAAGAUAGUCGUCCAAAUGAAACCAUACAAAAACCAAACUAGCACAACCCAAACGCUAAAGUCUCCUGCAGCCUACCAGAGAACCUCUGAGAACAGAGAAUCAGGACAGGAACUCUUACCUUCUGGACAACCAACGCUGGUUCUCAAACAAGAAUACAGAAUGUGUCUGACCAAAAACCUCUGAAGACUCACUACAGCCAAGAUAAAGACACACCUCAGCUGCACCAAAUCCACUAAUCACUGCACACAUUAGCACCAUGUGCCAACUGUGGCUACAGAACCACAUUUACCAAGACAACUAUCCAGUACAAAGCCCUAAAACACACCAAGAAACACAUUAAAGCCGAUUUUACUGCUGGAAGCUGCAAACCAACACCUAAAGAACAAACUAAUGCAAUGGAGCCAAACCCGGUUCACUGGUGAAGAGAAACAGAGGAAAUGUUUGUCUGCAGCUAAAUAAAGCAGGAAGACACUGAGCUGCUCAGGUGUUCCUGAUAACACCAAGCAGCCACCUGGACAGCCAAUAGGAACGCAGCUUCCUGGAAGUCCAGAGGGCUGGCUUAGUCAAGGAAAUUUAAUUUAAAGUUGAAGCAGAAAGUUAACAAAGAAAGUUGAAAACCACCUUCUGAUCCCUGAAAUCUCUGAGUUUUCACACAAAGAACACCUGAACAUGUCAAACUGGUUCCAUAGUAGAACCCUCAUUGUAAAAACGUCAUAGUAUGGUGUGUUGCUCAAAAAACAUUAGGACCCGGCUGUCAGGGGACAAACAUGUAAGAAACAUGAGAACAGAGAGAACCCAACCAGUAGGUCACAGUUUAUCAUCAUCUAGUCAUCUCCUGAAGUCCAUAUGGUGAGAGACAUCAGUAUCUGGUUGUUCAUUUACCAGAGGAUGCUUAUAAUCAUGCUGAUGUGGUCUGUACUCUACAGUAUUUUAGUGACUCAAUAAAUGCCUAAGUUGUUUUUUUUUUUUAAAUGCUUUUUAGUUUUUAAUAAACAUUUAACAGCCUAUAUGUAAUCAAUAAAUGGCCUUUGUCUAUCUUAAGAAAAAUUCACUCAGAACUCUGAUAUGUUAACAGUACUAAAUAAAUCAAUAAAUACAUGCAUACACACAUAAAUAAGUUAAUACAUUAACUGUGUUAAGAUAAGAUUUAGAUUUUUAAAAAGUUGUUUAUGUUUUUGCAGAAUCCAGUAUUGCUCACUGGUUGGUCAUUACAUUUUAUUAGUUUGAUUUCACUGUUUAAAAUAAUGCCACCUCUUUUCAGACAGAACCUGUGAUAAUAAAACAAUACAAAAUUUUUAGUUCCGUGUUAAUAAAGCACUUAAAGCUUUAAGUAUGGCUAAAUGCUUUUUUCAAAAUUAAAUAUAUCACUCCUUAGGUGGUAGUGGCCCCAAGUUCAGUAAAGUUGGAAAGAUAUUCACAGAUUCAGACUUCCAGCAUCAAUAACUCAUUAGAUAUAGGUUGUCAAAACAUAAACGGUGCCUCUUUCCCAUUGUUGCAAGGCAGACAAUGUGCUACAAGCCCAGUUUUAUCAAAAGCAGCUGUCUUUCAAGCUACAGGAAUAACAUUGGUGUCUAUGGAGUGAACAGGGU